rnacentral:ribozyme from 14 species
CAAAUACAAACCACCCUGAUUUAUAGGCGAACACGGCUGUAAGAAAGAAAAAAAAAGAAGGAUACGCCAUGUGUACAUAUAUGCUAUACCCCUGAAGAAUACUACAUAUGCAUAGUAGGAUUUUCUUCCUUUUUUUUUUUU